GGGGCCCGCACAAGCGGUGGAGCAUGUGGUUUAAUUCGAUGCAACGNGAAAAACCUUACCUACNCUUGACAUCCUUGGAAUCCUANANAGAUAUAGGAGUGCUUNGGAACCAAGUGACAGGUGCUGCAUGGCNGUNGUCAGCUCGUGUCNUGAGAUGUUGGGUUAAGUCCCGUAACGAGCGCAACCCCUAUACUUAGUUGNUAGUUGCUNUUNGUAGCAAAGCACNNUAAGUAGACUGCCGGUGAUAAACCGGAGGAAGGUGGGGAUGACGUCAAGUCAUCAUGGCCCUUAUGGGUAGGGCUACACACGUGCUACAAUGGGCAGUACAGAGGGCGUUGAAGUCGCGAGGCGGAACGAAUCUCACAAAGCUGUUCAUAGUCCGGAUUGGAGUNUGCAACUCGACUCCAUGAANNNGAAUCNNUNGUAAUCGCAAAUCAGCAUGUUGCGGUGAAUACGUUCCCGGGCCUUGUACACACCGCCCGUCACACCAUGGGAGUGGGUNGUACCAGAAGUAGGUAGGCUAACCGUAAGGAGGCCGCUUACCACGGUAUGAUUCAUGACUGGGGUGAAGUCGUAACAAGGUAAC
rnacentral:rRNA from 1 species